rnacentral:rRNA from 1 species
UUGACGGGGCCCGCACAAGCGGUGGAGUAUGUGGUUUAAUUCGAUGCAACGCGAAGAACCUUACCUGGUCUUGACAUCCCGGAGACCCUUAGGAAACUAGGGGGUGCUUCCAUCUGGAAGAAUCUGGAGACAGGUGCUGCAUGGCUGUCGUCAGCUCGUGUCGUGAGAUGUUGGGUUAAGUCCCGCAACGAGCGCAACCCUUGCCUUUAGUUGCCAGCAGUUCGGCUGGGCACUCUAAAGGGACUGCCGGUGUUAAACCGGAGGAAGGUGGGGAUGACGUCAAGUCCUCAUGGCCUUUAUGACCAGGGCUACACACGUACUACAAUGGCCGAUACAAAGGGCAGCGACACUGCGAGGUGAAGCCAAUCCCGUAAAAUCGGUCUCAGUCCGGAUUGGAGUCUGCAACUCGACUCCAUGAAGUUGGAAUCGCUAGUAAUCAUGGAUCAGCAUGCCACGGUGAAUACGUUCCCGGGCCUU